CAAUGUUACAGCUCUUUCAGAAUUUGUCUAGGUUUUCUGGUUUACCAGAAAAAAAAAA
ensembl:snRNA U7 U7 small nuclear RNA